rnacentral:rRNA from 1 species
UACGGAGGGUGCAAGCGUUAUCCGGAUUCACUGGGUUUAAAGGGUGCGUAGGCGGACAGGUAAGUCAGUGGUGAAAUCUCUGGGCUUAACCCAGAAACUGCCGUUGAUACUAUUUGUCUUGAAUAUCCUGGAGGUAGGCGGAAUAUGUCAUGUAGCGGUGAAAUGCUUAGAUAUGACAUGGAACACCGAUAGCGAAGGCAGCUUACUACAGGAUGAUUGACGCUGAGGCACGAAAGCGUGGGGAGCAAACAGG